UACAGAGGGUGCGAGCGUUAAUCGGAAUUACUGGGCGUAAAGGGUGCGUAGGUGGUUACGUAAGUUAGGUGUGAAAUUCCUGGGCUCAACCUGGGGACUGCGCCUAAUACUGCGAGACUAGAGUACUGUAGAGGAAGGUGGAAUUUCCAGUGUAGCGGUGAAAUGCGUAGAUAUUGGAAGGAACAUCGGUGGCGAAGGCGACCUUCUGGACAGAUACUGACACUGAGGCACGAAAGCAUGGGGAGCAAACAGGAUUAGAUACCCUGGUAGUCCAUGCCGUAAACGAUGAAGACUGGCUGUUGGAAACCUUAGGGUUUUUAGUAGCGAAGCUAACGCGUUAAGUCUUCCGCCUGGGGAGUACGGCCGCAAGGUUA
rnacentral:rRNA from 1 species